rnacentral:lncRNA from 10 species
CCUGCCUCUCCUUGCAUAGAUGUCAGAAGUAACACUUCAGGCGGGGGCGUCUGAGGUUCGCGUGUGAGGGAAUCAGGUGCAUUGCACAGUCAUCUCCUGCUCAAGACAGAGGAGGGCGCUCAGGGGCCAAUCAAACGACUUCUAAACCGCGAAAACAGGCCUGGGGCAAAAGAGUCCGUAGAUACCGCAGUCAAGGGGCGAUUCACUCCAUUUACUGACACAAUAGACAUGGAGUGCCUCCCAUGGACACAGGGAAUGAAGGGAUAGACAGAUGUCCUAUCUUUGGGAAUGCUGGCCUUCCAAGGAGAGAGUUGUCCACUGGGGAAAACGCCUGGGCAAUUCCCUGCAGUGUGGCAGGUGUGAAGGUGGAGAGAUGCUGAAGAAGUCACCUGGAAUUUGCUAGUAGAACUAUCAGUAAAAUGAAGACAGCAAUCCUGCCUUCAGCCCAACUCCACUGCCCAGAAAGGCUGGCACUGUGGGGACGAAGGGGGCAGUGGCAGCUCACCCUGAUGCAGAGAGAGCGGCAAGGGACUCUGAUGUUCACGCUGCCUGUGGAUCAACUCGGGAUCUCAGACACAUCUCGUCACAAUUAUCAAGUGGCAAAAAAGCAUUUGCGGGGAAUGACAACAGAAAUAUUGGCUCCCUGACCCUGGAAGGGUGGAAUCACUCCUUGUGGAAGGGAAAACGCCUGGAGCGGGGCAGGGGGCACAGGCCUGGAGGCGGCUCUAGGGAGAGCUGCUGCCACCCUUCAUCCGGAUCCCCUCAAACACUCCACCCUCACACCCUGCAGAAUCAGGAGAGAGGAACCCGCCUCCUGCGAGAGCCGCCGCCAUCUGUAACGUUGCCCUCACCACCCAGAGGCGAGGAGGAGAGCCCCCCAUCCCUCCCGUCCCUUCCCAGCUCCCGGCAGCCACUAGGCUUUCCCCUUCCCCGUCCUAAGGGACCUCCCGGGCUCUGCUCUCUCUGGGCAGGUUCAGGGCUUUGCAAGCGCUGCUGCUGCCACCAUCAGGCUGACUGAGGCACUGCAGCCUUCACCUGGCGUCAGGGCCCAAAAUAGUGCCCCAGCUCUUGGUGCGGCUUCAGAAGAACAGCUCCUCUCUGCCUCCGCAGUUGCCCCUCACUCAGGUGCAGCUUCCUAUGUAAGAAAAAGGCUUCAGAGGGCAUCUCCCUGAAGAAACAGAACUCCUUGUGAAUGUGGGGUGGACCCCAGCGUCCUCUAGCAAGACGCAGAAAAAGUGCAGGUCCUAGGAUUUAGGGAACGCAACCACUGAGGGAUUAAGUGGUGGUUUUGCUUUCUUUGCCACAAGGUCAGUGAGGCAGGGAAGGGUGGGAAUCACUCCUCCUGCCACUCCCGGAUGAACGUGCUAAGCUUCCUGUGCAAUGAACCAACCGGGCCCCAGUGUUACUCUGAAGCUGUCAUUGCUCCCAGCAUUGCCAAGGGUGACAGGUGGACUGUCACACUGCACCAGAGCCGAGUCACCUGUGACAUUUGCAGGUGACUGACAGAAAUGGGCACUGACAUGCAUUAAAGAACAGAAGGACGCGAUGGUUUCCUGUUGAAGCUGAGCAGUGGGUGGCUUGGCAGAGGCUGUUUCUCUUGGCGUUGUCUCUGGUGACCCAAAGGGCAUUCAAAGCCUUCCAGAAAGGAACAACUUCCUGCAGGGCACGUCCACACUUCACUUAGUCAGGUUCUUCUUCUGCCUCCUGCCAGGGGCCCUCUCAGCAUCUCUCCAUGUGCUGAUAUUACAAGCACUGCUGGCUUCUCCUCUCAUUACCCCUCAUUCCAUUCCAAUAUUUCCACACUUAUUCACAGCCUUCUAUGUGCCCAAUAGUGUGCUAGACACCAGGGGUGAUAAAAGACUUGGAUUUUAAUCAACCAAUUAAGAGAAGCAAAGUCCCUGCCUUUGCUUCCUUCCUUUUUAUUAUUAUUAUUAUUAUUAUUUGUCAGAACAGCCACAAAAGGAGCUACUCAAGCAGUAUGUCCUUAAUUACUCUUCAGCCCCAAAGCCUGGCCUGUUAUUUCCUCUGGAAACUUUGUACCCCGAGGUAAAACUGAAUGCCAGAAAGAUAAAGAAACUGACUCAGAAAGAGUCUGGAAUAAAAAAGAAAUUGAACUACAAUGCUGCCUCCUUGUUCGAAGGUCAGACCUGGGAUUCGGAUGCAUGAUUUUCAUAGGAAACUCCCUAAAAUCCUUUUCCAGUCCUAGACACUGGGGAUUGCCACAAAUUAUAAGACUAUGACCUGUCUUAUGACACCACAGCUUAGGAUACUCUCCUGCAUUUUUUAGUGUUGAUGUGGAACAGCUGGAUGUACCAGCAUCUUGAGGAACAUCAAGGCACAUGAAUAAGUGAACCAGACUGAAAAUGACUUUAGUCAAGCAAAGUAACCUCUCUGGGGGUAUGACAGCAAUAAUGCCCACUUCUCAUUACUUCUGCUGAUGAAAUGAGGUAGUGCUUGUGAAAGCCACUCUGCAACUUAUGAAGCUUUACACAAAUGCUAGUUAUCAUCACCAUCAUCAUCAUAAGAACAUAAUUACUGCCACGACUAACAACACCCUCAACAACCAAAAGAAUUUGCCAGGCACCUACAAGAAAAUUUGCUGGCAAAGAGCAAAUAGAAUGCAUCACCUACUCCCUAGGAAUGUGUCAUCCAAAAUAAAUAGAUUGUUGCUAAGAGAUAAUAUUCAGAGAAUCUUACAGUUGGAGAGGUUUUGGACGUCAUCUAGUCUACUCUCUAACCCAUUUCUCAGGAAUUGACUCCUACAUUCCUGAUGGCCUGAAUUCCACCGUGAGUCAGAACACUCUCAGCAAUGAGAGACUGUUCAGUGGGCCAGCCUUAGACUUGAGACUUACAUAUCCGCAGUCAUGGAAAUAACACUGUCUAUUUCUUGCUGAACAAUCGGGGUUUUGCUUCAUCAUUGAGCUUGUCCUGCCAGCCUCCACCAGUUCCUGAAGAGAACAGGCCAAAGUGUGGAACAUACAGGAUGAAGCGAUUACAACCUGGGCGCAGUAUACUGGCUGGCUUUGCUGCUCACUCCCUUACGAAUAGCUGUGAUGGGAUAUGAAAUCCAAGGGAACUGUUAGCCCCCCAGAGCAGCUGCUCCCACCGACCCUGCUCCAAGAGUGCUGGGAUGUCCGCUGGCCUCGAGGCAAGACAAGAGCUCCAAUCACUCUGCUGCAAGCGCCACCAUUAAAGUCAAGAUCACUGUGGUGGGGGGAGUUGAAGUGUGCAUUCCAGCAUGCUCAUGAUCUUACUGACCUUCUCCACUGAUGAAUUAGAACACCCCUCUUCCCAGGCACAGGACGAGUUCAGUGCCUCUCUGUUUCUUGAUGGACCCCAAUAAAAAAACGCCUGCACUGUUUUUCACCUAAGGUCAUCUCGACAAUUUACAAGGAUAAGGAUUGUAGCUGCAAAAUAAUGCCUAUGCCCCUCUAGCCCCCUUAGCAUCCCCCAUCUAUAUCAAGACCAUAAAACCAGUGCUUUUGGCCCUCCUCCUCACUCCUCCAGUAUGGGCAAUUUUCUUUUCCUCAUCCAUGUUUCCAAAACAGUUUAUCUUUUUAUCUCCUUGGAAGAAAAGUACUCCACAAAUCAAAG